rnacentral:rRNA from 1 species
UACAGAGGAGCCAAGCGUUGUCCGGAUUGACUGGGCGUAAAGCGCACGCAGGCGGAUGCGCGCGUGGGGUGUGAAAUCUGGCCGCUUAACGGCCAGGCGCCAUCCCAUACGGCGCGUCUGGAGUGAUGCAGAGGUCGAUGGAAUUGCCGGUGUAGUGGUGAAAUGCGUAGAGAUCGGCAGGAACACCCAGGGGGAAACCAGUCGACUGGGCAUCUACUGACGCUGAGUGCGAGAGCGUGGGGAGCGAACCGGG